UUAAGUUACAAAGAGUAUACGGUGGAUGCCUUGGCACCAGAAGGCGAAGAAGGACGUGGUAACCUGCGAUAAGCGUCGGAUAGGUGGAAACAACCUGUGACCCGGCGAUCUCCGAAUGGGGCAACCCUCUCAGGGUAAUGCCUGAGAACUCCAUACUGAAUCCAUAGGUAUGGCAGAGCCAACGUGGGGAAGUGAAAUAUCUCAGUACCCAUAGGAAAAGAAAGUAAAAACGAUUUCCUCAGUAGCGACGAGCGAACGGGAAAAUAGCCCAAACCUUAUAACACACUAAAGGCUGCAACCGUUGUGUUAGAGGUGUAGCGGGGCGCUUACAGACCAAAUUGCAGAUAGGUCGGAGAGUUACAAAUCAUAUUGUUAGUCGAAUCGCUUGGAAAGGCGAACCAAAGAAGGUGAAAGUCCUGUAGACAAAAACAAUAUGACUCUCUGGUAGGCGUACCCAAGUACCACGGAAUAAGUGGAAGUCUGUGGGAAUCUGCGGGAACCAUCCUGUAAGGCUAAAUACUAUCUGGUGACCGAUAGUGAACAAGUACCGUGAGGGAAAGGUGAAAAGCACUCCUAACCGGAGGGUGAAAUAGUACCUGAAACCGUAUACUUACAAACGGUCGGAGUCUUUAUGAGAUUGCUUGCAAUUUCAUAGGGAUGACGGCGUGCCUUUUGCUUAAUGAGCCUACGAGUUACGCGUACGUAGCAAGGUUAAUCCGCUCAGCGGAGAAGCCGUAGCGAAAGCGAGUCUGAAAAGGGCGUUAAGUUACGUGCGGUAGACGCGAAACCCGGUGAUCUAUCCUUGGCCAGGAUGAAGUGAGGGUAAAACCUCAUGGAGGUCCGAACCGGUGUGGGUUGAAAACUACUCGGAUGAGCUGAGGAUAGGAGUGAAAAGCUAAUCGAACUGGGUGAUAGCUCGUACUCCCCGAAAUAGCUUUAGGGCUAGCCUCGGGUAAUAAUAUCACGGAGGUAGAGCACUGAUUGGGCUAGGGUCGUCACAACGAUACCAAACCCAGACAAACUCCGAAUUCCGUAGAUAUGUUUCCCGGGAGUCAGGCGACGACGGAUAAGCGCCGACGCCGAGAGGAGAACAAUCCAGAUCACCAGCUAAGGUCCCAAAAUUGAAGUUAACAUAUAAAGGAUGUUAAGUUGCAUAGACAACUAGGAGGUUGGCUUAGAAGCAGCCAUUCCUUUAAAGAGUGCGUAAUAGCUCACUAGUCAAGCGACUCAGCGUCGAUAAUUCUCGGGAAUUAAACUUCAUACCGAAGCUGUGAAUUCCGCCACUGGCGGAGUGGUAGGGGAGCAUUCCAUUUAGCGACUGCGGUGAACGCAGAUCGUCGCAAGACGAUGAAGGUGUGCAGCGAUGCAUGCUGGAGCAAAUGGAAACGCAGAUGUAGGCAUGAGUAACGAUAAGGCAGAUGAAAAAUCUGCCCACCGAAAAUCUAAGGUUUCCUGAGCAACGUUAAUCGUCUCAGGGUUAGUCGGAUCCUAAGCUGAGGCCGAAAGGCGUAGGCGAUGGAAAACGGGUUUAAUAUUCCCGUACCUGUUUACAAUCGUUUGACUGUAAGGGGUGACGCAGGAGUGAAAGGUCAGCCACCUGUUGGCUUAGGUGGUCUAAGCAUGUAGAGGUGUUAUGUAGGCAAAUCCGCAUAACAGCUAUCCUUGAAAUGCGAACGGGAUCCCGCAAGGGAACAAACUGACCCUAAACAAACUGCCAAGAAAAACCUCGUACAGGAGAUUGUAAGCAGACCGUACCGUAAACCGACACAGGUAGAUGAGGAGAAAAUCCUAAGGUGCUCGAGUGAGCCAUGGUCAAGGAACUCGGCAAAUUGACCGCGUAACUUCGGGAUAAGCGGUGCCCACCGCAAGGUGGGUCGCAGUGAAAUGGGCCAAGCGACUGUUUAACAAAAACACAUCACUCUGCUAACACGUCAAGUGGACGUAUAGGGUGUGACACCUGCCCGGUGCUGGAAGGUUAAGGAAGCGGGUCAUCUGCCGCAAGGUGGAGAAGCUCGCGACCGAAGCCCCAGUAAACGGCGGCCGUAACUAUAACGGUCCUAAGGUAGCGAAAUUCCUUGUCGGGUAAGUUCCGACCUGCACGAAUGGUGUAACGACUUGGUCACUGUCUCGACCAUGGGCUCGGUGAAAUUGUGGUACCGGUGAAGACGCCGGUUACCCGCAUAUGGACGGAAAGACCCCGUGAAGCUUUACUAUACCCUAACAUUGGGUUCGGACAAAGCAUGUGUAGAAUAGGUGGGAGACUUUGAAGCGGGUGCGCUAGCAUCCGUGGAGUCAACAGUGAAAUACCACCCUUGUUCUGUUUGAAUUCUAACCUCGUACCUUGAAUCAGGUACAGGAACAGUGUUAGGCGGGUAGUUUGACUGGGGCGGUCGCCUCCUAAAUUGUAACGGAGGCUCUCAAAGGUUCCCUCAGCAUGGUUGGUAAUCAUGCGUCGAGUGUAAAGGCAUAAGGGAGCUUAACUGUGAGACCUACAAGUCGAGCAGAUGCGAAAGCAGGACUUAGUGAUCCGAUGGUUGUGUGUGGAAAUGCCAUCGCUCAAAGGAUAAAAGCUACUCCGGGGAUAACAGGCUGAUCUCGCCCAAGAGUUCAUAUCGACGGCGAGGUUUGGCACCUCGAUGUCGGCUCAUCGCAUCCUGGGGCUGGAGAAGGUCCCAAGGGUUUGGCUGUUCGCCAAUUAAAGCGGUACGUGAGCUGGGUUCAGAACGUCGUGAGACAGUUCGGUCCCUAUCCUAUGCGGGCGCAGGAUAUUUGAGGGGAGUCGCUCCUAGUACGAGAGGACCAGAGUGAACGGACCUACGGUGUACCUGUUGUCGCGCCAGCGGCAAACGCAGGGUAGCCACGUCCGGUCGGGAUAAGCGCUGAAGGCAUCUAAGCGCGAAACCCACCCCAAGAUUAGAUAUCCCAAUCAGACUCCAAGGAGAUUACUUGGUCGAUAGGCCGCAGAUGUAAGUACAGUAAUGUAUUUAGUCGAGCGGUACUAAUCAGUCGAUCGACUUAACCAA
rnacentral:rRNA from 1 species